CCUACGGGUGGCAGCAGUGAGGAAUAUUGGUCAAUGGGCUUACGCCUGAACCAGCCAAGUCGCGUGAGGGAAGACUGCCCUAUGGGUUGUAAACCUCUUUUGUCAGGGAGCAAUGUGCGCCACGUGUAGCGUUAUCGAGAGUAUCUGAAGAAAAAGCAUCGGCUAACUCCGUGCCAGCAGCCGCGGUAAUACGGAGGAUGCGAGGGUAACCGGGAUUUUUUGGGUUUAAAGGGUGCGUAGGCGGAAUGCCAAGUCAGCGGUAAAAUCGCGGGGCUCAACCUCGCUCAGCCGUUGAAACUGGCGUUCUUGAGUAGGCGAGAGGUAUGCGGAAUGCGUGGUGUAGCGGUGAAAUGCAUAGAUAUCACGCAGAACUCCGAUUGCGAAGGCAGCAUACCGGCGCCCAACUGACGCUGAAGCACGAAAGCGUGGGUAUCGAACAGGAUUAGAUACCCGUGUAGUC
rnacentral:rRNA from 1 species